rnacentral:rRNA from 1 species
UUUCGAACCUGGCGGCGUGCCUAAUCAUGCCAGUCGAGCGGAGUUUUCCUUCGGGGAUAGCUUAGCGGCGGACGGGUGAGUAACACGUAGGCAACCUGCCUGCAAGACCGGGAUAACAUUCGGAAACGAAUGCUAAUACCGGAUACGCAGUCUCCUCGCAUGGGGAGGCUGGGAAAGACGGCGCAAGCUGUCACUUGCAGAUGGGCCUGCGGUGCAUUAGCUAGUUGGUGGGGUAACGGCUCACCAAGGCGACGAUGCAUAGCCGACCUGAGAGGGUGAUCGGCCACACUGGGACUGAGACACGGCCCAGACUCCUACGGGAGGCAGCAGUAGGGAAUCUUCCGCAAUGGACGAAAGUCUGACGGAGCAACGCCGCGUGAGUGAUGAAGGUUUUCGGAUCGUAAAGCUCUGUUGCCAGGGAAGAACAGCCAGGCGAGUAACUGCGCUUGGAAUGACGGUACCUGAGAAGAAAGCCCCGGCUAACUACGUGCCAGCAGCCGCGGUAAUACGUAGGGGGCAAGCGUUGUCCGGAAU